GCCUAACACAUGCAAGUCGAACGAGAAUCAAUGGAUAGAGGCUUCGGCCAAUUGAAGUUGAGGACAGUGGCGGACGGGUGAGUAAAACGUGAGCAACCUGCCUUUCAGAGGGGGACAACAGUUGGAAACGACUGCUAAUACCGCAUAACGUAUAUUGAGGGCAUCCUCGAUAUACCGAAGAUUUUAUCGCUGAAAGAUGGGCUCGCGUCUGAUUAGCUAGUUGGUGGGGUAAUGGCCUACCAAGGCGACGAUCAGUAGCCGGACUGGGAGGUUGAACGGCCACAUUGGGACUGAGAUACGGCCCAGACUCCUACGGGAGGCAGCAGUGGGGAAUAUUGGGCAAUGGGGGCAACCCUGACCCAGCAACGCCGCGUGAAGGAAGAAGGUCUUCGGAUUGUAAACUUCUUUUGUCAGGGACGAUAGUGACGGUACCUGACGAAUAAGCCACGGCUAACUACGUGCCAGCAGCCGCCGUAAGAC
rnacentral:rRNA from 1 species